AUUGAACGCUGGCGGCAGGCCUAACACAUGCAAGUCGAACGAGUGGCGGACGGGUGAGUAAUGUCUGGGAAACUGCCUGAUGGAGGGGGAUAACUACUGGAAACGGUAGCUAAUACCGCAUACCAUCGGAUGAGCCCAGAUGGGAUUAGCUAGUAGGUGGGGUAAAGGCUCACCUAGGCGAGGAUCCCUAGCUGGGCUGAGAGGUUGACCACCAAAACUGGAACGGAGAAACGGUCCAGACUCCUACGGGAGGCAGAAGUGGGGAAUAUUGGACAAGGGGCGAAGUCCUGAUGCAGCCAUGCCGCGUGUAUGAAGAAGCCCUUCGGGUUGUAAAGUACUUUCAGCGGGGAGGCGUUACCCGCAGAAGAAGCACCGGCUAACUACGUGCCAGCAGCCGCGGUAAUAC
rnacentral:rRNA from 1 species